AGUCACCUAAAUUUCUUUCCACUCGCUCCAACUCUUCUUCCACAUAAUCCAAUUGCUCUAUUUUAAUCUCAAAAACAAUAAAAUUCCUUUAAUUAUUUGUCUCUCAGAUCUCAAAGCAUACCAUCAUAUUUGCACGAAUCCCAAAGCUCCAUCCAACCAUGUUCCCAGCCAAGUCCCAAUAGUUUCCAACAACUUGAUCAAUCACAUCCGUUUCCCUUCAUCCGCAUGAGUCCACGUGAUCAUCUCCCAGUGUCCUACACUCCUUUCCGCAUCCUCCGCUAAUCUCACGCACGUCUCUCGUCCCUUCUGAAUCCAAGGAACAGAGUCUCCCCACGUAUCUCCCAGCUUUAUCCCGUUCAUAGUCGAGUCCCAAGCAUCCAGCUCCAUCGUCCGCCGAUUUCCCACGUUAUUCUCGAUUCGGCUUCAUCCUCAAGCAUUUGGAUAAACUCCCCGCUCCUCUGUUCUCAAGUCUCCCGUGUCUUCAUCCCAAACAAACUUCUAUCCAAGCUGCCGAAUCCCAUGGAACAUCUCCCCUGUUCCCAACAGAAUCGAGUUCAUCCUCCCGUGAUCCACUCAAAUCCCAGCACCCCACAUUUCUUCUCAUCUUCAUCUCAACCGUGGACAACAUCCUAUAUCUCCCAGAUUCAUCCGUAUCCAAUUUCCUCCCACAUUCCACCUUUCACUUGAUUCCUUCCGAACAUCCCAGCUCAUGAAUUCGUUUCCUCUUUCCGUUCGGAAUUGAUUCCAUAUCCACAGAAUAAGGCUUAGGCAUUCAUUCCGAAGCUAGAUCCCAACGUCCAAGUUCAUCUUCCCUGCUCAACGUCCAAGCUUAUCCUCUCAUCCUCUUCCCCUGUUACGGUUUCCACCCAGCUAUCAGCCGAGAUCCUCUCAGCCGUGAGCGCCAUCCCGUGUUUCCCACGUCUUCCACGACUUCCUCUGCUUCAAAACAGAGCUCCAAUCUCCACGUCACCUCCGAGAUCUUCUCCGCAUCACCUGCUCCCAGCUCGUUCCAGCCGUCCGCAAGAUACCCAUAGCGUCUUCAUCCUUAUCCUGCACUCGGAAGGAGGAGCCAGGGGGAGUUGGAAGCCGUUGAUCCAUCUUUAUCUCGCCUUGGACAGAGGAGCGAGGGGGAGGUGCAGCCUAUAAAAGGCCCAGCGUGAACCGAGAAGAGGAAUCAUUCCUCCUCUUCCCCACCAGGGGAGGGGGCUGAUCCCUUUAUUCCUCCUCUUCCCCACCAGGGGAGGGGGCUGAUCCCUUUAUUCAUCCUUCCCCACCGGGGGGGGGGGGG
rnacentral:lncRNA from 1 species